rnacentral:rRNA from 1 species
GACGAACGCUGGCGGCGUGCUUAACACAUGCAAGUCGAACGAUGAAGCGGGUGCUUGCACUCGUGGAUUAGUGGCGAACGGGCGAGUAACACGUGAGUAACCUGUCCUUUUCUUUGGGAUAACGGCUGGAAACGGCUGCUAAUACUGGAUAUUCAUGCUGCAUCGCAUGGUGUGGUUUGGAAAGGUUUUUUCUGGGAUUGGGUGGGCUCGCGGCCUAUCAGCUUGUUGGUGGGGUGAUGGCUUACCAAGGCUUUGACGGGUAGCCGGCCUGAGAGGGUGGUCGGUCGCACUGGGACUGAGGUACGGCCCAGACUGCUACGGGAGGCAGCAGUGGGGAAUAUUGCACAAUGGACGAAAGUUUGAUGCAGCGACGCCGCGUGGAGGGUGUAGGCCUUCGGGUUGUGAACUCCUUUUGCUCGCGAAAAAGGCACAGUUUUGGCUGUGUUGAUGGUAGUGGGGGAAGAAGCGCCGGCUAACUACGUG